CCCUUAGAUGUCCUGGGCCGCACGCGCGUUACACUGAUGCAUUCAACGAGCUUAUAACCUUGGCCGAGAGGCCUGGGCAAUCUUGUUAACGUGCAUCGUGAUAGGGAUAGAUUAUUGAAAUUAUUAAUCUUGAACGAGGAAUUCCUAGUAAACGCAAAUCAUCAAUUUGCAUUGAUUACGUCCCUGCCCUUUGUACACACCGCCCGUCGCACCUACCGAUUGAAUGGUCCGGUGAAAUCUCGGGAUUGUGGCCAGUUCACUUUAUUGGGAGUUGGCUGCGAGAACUUGCUUAAACCUUAUCAUUUAGAGGAAGGUGAAGUCGUAACA
rnacentral:rRNA from 1 species